rnacentral:rRNA from 1 species
GAGUUUGAUCUUGGCUCAGAGCGAACGCUGGCGGCAGGCCUAACACAUGCAAGUCGAACGGACCCUUCGGGGUUAGUGGCGGACGGGUGAGUAACACGUGGGAACGUGCCCUUUGGUACGGAACAACUCAGGGAAACUUGAGCUAAUACCGUAUAAGCCCUACGGGGGAAAGAUUUAUCGCCAUUGGAGCGGCCCGCGUCUGAUUAGCUAGUUGGUGAGGUAAAGGCUCACCAAGGCUACGAUCAGUAGCUGGUCUGAGAGGAUGAUCAGCCACACUGGGACUGAGACACGGCCCAGACUCUUACGGGAGGCAGCAGUGGGGAAUAUUGGACAAUGGGCGCAAGCCUGAUCCAGCCAUGCCGCGUGAGUGAUGAAGGCCCUAGGGUUGUAAAGCUCUUUCAACGGUGAAGAUAAUGACGGUAACCGUAGAAGAAGCCCCGGCUAACUUCGUGCCAGCCGCCGCAGUAAC